rnacentral:sRNA from 1 species
GCUGGGUAUGAGAGUGUGUACCUGUAGUCCCAGCUAGUCAGAGGCCAAAGCAAGAGGGUCAUUUGAACACAGGAGUUGAAAGCCAGCCUGAGCAACAUAGUGAGACCCUGUCUUAA